GAUGAACGCUGGCGGCGUGCCUAACACAUGCAAGUCGAACGAAGCGAUUUAACGGAAGUUUUCGGAUGGAAGUUGAAUUGACUGAGUGGCGGACGGGUGAGUAACGCGUGGGUAACCUGCCUUGUACUGGGGGACAACAGUUAGAAAUGACUGCUAAUACCGCAUAAGCGCACAGUAUCGCAUGAUACAGUGUGAAAAACUCCGGUGGUACAAGAUGGACCCGCGUCUGAUUAGCUAGUUGGUAAGGUAACGGCUUACCAAGGCGACGAUCAGUAGCCGACCUGAGAGGGUGACCGGCCACAUUGGGACUGAGACACGGCCCAAACUCCUACGGGAGGCAGCAGUGGGGAAUAUUGCACAAUGGGCGAAAGCCUGAUGCAGCGACGCCGCGUGAGUGAAGAAGUAUUUCGGUAUGUAAAGCUCUAUCAGCAGGGAAGAAAAUGACGGUACCUGACUAAGAAGCCCCGGCUAACUACGUG
rnacentral:rRNA from 1 species